UUGCCUGUGAAGAAAUCUGAAACCAAAUACCAUCUUUCGGGGCUGAUUGGAUCAUUGUAUCCAUGCUGUCAUUCUUUUAAUCCGAGGCAU